CCUACGGGAGGCAGCAGUGGGGAAUUUUGGACAAUGGGCGCAAGCCUGAUCCAGCAAUGCCGCGUGAGUGAAGAAGGCCUUCGGGUUGUAAAGCUCUUUUGUCAGGGAAGAAACGGUUGGGGCUAAUAUCCUCGGCUAAUGACGGUACCUGAAGAAUAAGCACCGGCUAACUACGUGCCAGCAGCCGCGGUAAUACGUAGGGUGCAAGCGUUAAUCGGAAUUACUGGGCGUAAAGCGUGCGCAGGCGGUUUUGUAAGUCUGUCGUGAAAGCCCCGGGCUUAACCUGGGAAUUGCGAUGGAGACUGCAAGGCUUGAAUCUGGCAGAGGGGGGUAGAAUUCCACGUGUAGCAGUGAAAUGCGUAGAGAUGUGGAGGAACACCGAUGGCGAAGGCAGCCCCCUGGGUCAAGAUUGACGCUCAUGCACGAAAGCGUGGGGAGCAAACAGGAUUAGAUACCCUGGUAGUCCACGCCCUAAACGAUGUCUACUAGUUGUCGGGUCUUAAUUGACUUGGUAACGCAGCUAACGCGUGAAGUAGACCGCCUGGGGAGUACGGUCGCAAGAUUAAAACUCAAAGGAAUUGACGG
rnacentral:rRNA from 1 species